CCAAUAGCGUAUAUUAAAGUUGUUGCAGUUAAAAAGCUCGUAGUUGAAUUUCGGGGUCAGUAGAUUGGUCGUGCCACUGGUACGUACUGGUCUUACUGAUUCCUCCCUCCUGAUGAACUGUAAUGCCAUUAAUUUGGUGUUGCAGGGAAUCUGGACUGUUACUUUGAAAAAAUUAGAGUGUUUAAAGCAGGCUAACGCUUGAAUACAUUAGCAUGGAAUAAUGAAAUAGGACGCUCGAUCCUAUUUUGUUGGUUUCUAGGAUUGACGUAAUGAUUAAUAGGGAUAGUUGGGGGCAUUAGUAUUCAAUUGUCAGAGGUGAAAUUCUUGGAUUUAUUGAAGACUAACUACUGCGAAAGCAUUUGCCAAGGAUGUUUUCAUUAAUCAAGAACGAAAGUUAGGGGAUCGAAGACGAUCAGAUACCGUCGUAGUCUUAACCAUAAACUAUGCCGACUAGGGAUCGGAUGAUGUUAAUUUUUUAAUGACUCAUUCGGCGCCUUACG
rnacentral:rRNA from 1 species